rnacentral:rRNA from 1 species
AGCAGCCGCGGUAAUUCCAGCUCCAAUAGCGUAUAUUAAAGUUGUUGCAGUUAAAAAGCUCGUAGUUGAAUUUCGGGGUCAGUAGAUUGGUCAUGCCUCCGGUAUGCACUGGUCUUACUGGCUCCUCCUUCCUGAUGAACCGUAAUGCCAUUAAUUUGGUGUUGCGGGGAGACUGGACUGUUACUUUGAAAAAAUUAGAGUGUUUAAAGCAGGCUAACGCUUGAAUACAUUAGCAUGGAAUAAUGAAAUAGGACGUUCGAUCUUAUUUUGUUGGUUUCUAAGAUUGACGUAAUGAUUAAUAGGGAUAGUUGGGGGCAUUAGUAUUCAAUUGUCAGAGGUGAAAUUCUUGGAUUUAUUGAAGACUAACUACCGCGAAAGCAUUUGCCAAGGAUGUUUUCAUUAAUCAAGAACGAAAGUUAGGGGAUCGAAGACGAUCAGAUACCGUCGUAG